ACUCCUUUCAGUUUUUAACUCUGUCUUUGUCCCGGUGUUUGGUGAUUUCCUGGCUCGCUUGGCAUAACAUUUUUGGAAGCAGCAGUGAGAUCACCAUCACUUGGUGACUUCUGUCCAGAGGACAGUCCCUGUCUCAGGCUGCUGCAGCCCAAGGUAGGCCUAGGGAAGCCACCCUGACCAUUUGAUCAGGGCCCUGGGAGCUCGGGCCCUGAGUGGAGGAUUCGGGUCAUUCCAGCCAUCCUGAAGGGAGUUUAUCUGGAAAGCCUCUGGAGGUCAGCCUACCUGGGAUGACUGCCAGCAGCUGCUCCACACCCUCUUCACUAUGGAAGAGCAGGACCAGAUUUUCCAAGAGGCUGUUAAGGUGGCCCUGGGACCAAACCCAGACCUCAGUCCUGGCACUCUGGCUUAUCUGCAGCAAGCAGAGGCUGAGGUGCUGACCCACCGACUGGACUGGGACCCCAACACUGAUGCAGACUUAAAGCUAUAAAGCUACUCAAGAUGACAAUGACUAGUGCCUAUCCAGGACCUUUAGAUAGAUGAGCCUCUAUAGAAUAACUCUCACUGCUGAUCACAACUAUGACCCUCUUCAGCUGGAAGUAGCAGAACAGUCCUCACCCUUUGCCCCUCACAGCAGUUAAAAGGAAAUAUUCUUCAGAGGAGGGAAUAUUCCAGAUAGGUAAGUUAAUUGGAUAUCUUCUAGAC